AAAGAACCAAAACUGGCCUCAUUUGAACUUGGAUCAUAAAUUAAGCGGUCCUUUAAACAGGCCGGGCCGAGCCUAUUGACCACUAUAUAUAUAUGUGCCAUCCCUGGCCUAAUCGCAUCGUUUAUUUUUGAGAUUUUUCUCGUCGCCGAUACCGAUUAAUAUCUCAAUCGGACGCCAUCUCGAACCCUAAAACCAUUCUACUUAUUCCCGGAUUAUUCCGUCCCCGAUGGCGGACCCGGCCACCGCCGGAGGACCGUCGGAGCCGGCGGGGGAAGCCGCCGCCGCCGGUGGCAUGACGAGGAAGGAGAAGCGGAAGGCGAUGAAGAAGUUGAAGAGGAAGCAGCUCAGGAAGGAGGAGGCGAUCCGGGAGCGCGAGCAGGACGAGGCGCGGUCCACUGAUCCGGAGGAGCAGCUGAGGAUCCGACUAAGGGAGCAGGAGGAGGCCGAGAUCGCGGAGAGGGAGAGGAAGGCGUUCGAAGAGCGGGAGAGGCUCUGGUUGGAGGCCGCCACCGCAAGGAAGGCCGCGAAGGAGGAGGAGGAGGAGGAGGAGGCCCGGAGGAAGAAGCUUAUCGAAGAGUCGCGAGAAAAGGAGACUCAGCAGAAAGAGCACGCAGAUGAGUUGGAAGAAGGUGAUGAAUGGGAGUAUAUUGAGGAAGGUCCCGCAGAAAUCAUCUGGCAAGGAAAUGAAAUCAUAGUCAAGAAGAAAAGAGUUAGAGUUGCAAAGAAAAGUGAUAGACAGCCAAUCAACGAGGAUGAUGACAGACCCACAUCAAAUCCCCUUCCUCCACAGUCUGUAGCUUUUACUUCGUACAAGAUUGGGCCAUCAAUGUCAGCACAAGAAGUACUUGAAAAAUCUGCUCAACAGAUUCCAAAUUUUGGAACCGAGCAAGAUAAAGCUCACUGUCCAUUUCACCUUAAGACCGGGGCCUGUCGUUUCGGGUCACGUUGCAGUAGAGUUCAUUUUCAUCCUGAUAAAUCUUGCACAUUGCUCAUCAAAAACAUGUACAGUGGCCCAGGACUUGCUUGGGAGCAAGAUGAGGGGCUUGAGUACACGGAUGAAGAGGUCGAACGUUGUUAUGAAGAAUUUUAUGAGGAUGUACAUACAGAAUUUUUGAAGUUUGGUGAACUUGUUAAUUUCAAGGUGUGCAGGAAUGGUUCUUACCAUCUACGUGGAAAUGUGUACGUGCACUACAAGUCCUUGGAUUCAGCCCUUCUUGCUUACAGUAACAUGAAUGGCCGUUAUUAUGCUGGAAAACAGAUAAUGUGUGAGUUUGUUACUAUCGCAAGAUGGAAGGUUGCUAUAUGUGGGGAAUACAUGAAAUCAGGGUUAAAGACUUGCUCUCAUGGAACUGCUUGCAAUUUCAUUCACUGCUUUCACAACCCUGGAGGGGACUACGAGUGGGCUGAUUGGGAUAACCCUCCACCUAAAUACUGGAUUAGAAAGAUGUCUGCUCUAUUUGGCCACCCAGAAUCAGCGUAUGACAAGAAAAUGGAGCUAGAAGAUUGUGAGAAGUUGAGGGAUUCAAACAGGAAGAAAACAUCAAAAAACAACAGUAGGUAUCGUUCAAGAAGAUCUGUUGAUGGUGAGACAGAUGUGCGAGAUAGUGUUUCCAUCAGAGAAGAUCCAGAUAUAAGGAGAGAUCAAUACAGCAGGCACUCAAUCAGGAGAGAGCACUCUUAUAGAAGAAGAAAAGAAAUAGCUUUUCUGGAUAAGCUUGAGCAAUCUGAGGAAAACAACAAGUCAGAAGCAAGGCAUUGUUUCCCCAGUCAUGAUUCAGAUGAGGACAUCUCUAAGACAAGGGAUGGGGAUUUCCUUAAAAGGCACUGGAAAUAUGAAGAGAAGAACAAUGUUGACGAUCAUUAUAAGAGGAAACAUCAAACAGCGGAAGAUUUGUCUAGGAAGGAAAGUGGAACGGCUUACUCCAGUGGGCGAAGCAAACCAAAGAAGCGUCAUAAAUCCAAAUCUCAUGAAGUACAUAAGAAGGAACAUGGAUCAUCUGGUUGGCAUUUGGGCAACGAUAAUAACAACAGGGUGCCAAGCAUUAGGCCUCCAAGUGAUAAGACUGGUGGUGUACUUAAGAUUGAUGAAGAGCGGUAUGAUGGGGGAUAUUGUUCAGAAUGUUCUGAUGAUGUUGGUUACAACAGAGAUUCCUCCAUGUAUGGAACAAAGAAAGAAUAUCGCCUGAGUGAAAAAAGAGAAUGUGAUCGAUAUAACUCCCAACAUCAUAAAAGUCAUAAAUCCUAUAAUUAUGAAAGUGAUGAUGAGAAUAGUAAAUUUAGAAAACAGAGGACUGGAAGUCAGAGAGAUUCUUUUAAUGAUUCUGCUAAUGAUUGGAAAUCCACAGAUAAAAAUUCUGAUCAGAAAGGUGCUGAUGACACCUUACCAAGUAAUAGCAGUCGAUCUUAUAGGCAAUAUAGUAGAAGUGGUAGAAAGAGAAAACAUCACCCGGGGAAAGAUGCGUGCAGAAAAUGUGAUGGAGAAAUUAGUAAUUCGGAUUCUGAUAGGGCAGAGUUGAAUAGGAGUGCCUACAAGAAGCAUUCAAGAAGCCGCACACACAUUCAGUGAUCUGGCAGUUUGAGGGACCAUAGUCAUUAAAGCAGUUGUGAUUUCCCAAGGCUUCAAAUAUGUGCUACAUAUGCAAGAAGAUGUGGCAAGUGUUUUUCUGUGCGCCUAAUGAUUCCAUUCAACCAAGGUACGCUACACCAAUCCGGAUCGGGCAGUACGGAGUGUACCGUACCAGUUCAGUACUAGUACCUUGUACAGGUGGUAUACCGAGCAUUGCUACACCAAAAAAACUCCGUAUCAUAGGCGAACAUUGCAUUCAACUAAAUAAUUCUCAGAGGUUGAACUGAGAGUUGGGUUAGACCUUAAUGUGUUGGGUUGCAGCUCUUUAUUUUACCUUCAGUCAUCAAUGGCGGGCAUUGGAGGGUGAUUUUCUUUAACCCUUUUCUUGUGUUGACCAAAUGCAGCUGCUGGAUUGUAUAACUAAACUCCCCGAUUUAUUAUCUUCUCUGUAUAUUAUAAUGGUAUGAGUAGCCUUUUCCAUCCAGAACGAAUCGAUUGAAUGUGAACAGGUCAUGCUUUUCAGGUUAUAUCAAACUAUGUCAUCAUGUUCUUAUUCCUUUGCUA